AGAUCUUAGAAUUCUCAGACAAAAUAAAAUGAGGGGUCAAUACAUAAGGUCAAAAACACAAUGGGUAGAAGAAGGAGAGAAACCUUCAAAAUAUUUCAUAAAUUUAGAGACAAAAAAUUAUGUAAAUAAAACAAUUCCUAAAUUAAUUGAUAAAUCAGGAAAUAUAAUUGAAAACCAAAAACGAAUUCUAAACGAAGCGAAAAAUUAUUACAAAAAUCUAUAUUCCAAAAAUGAGACAAUAAAAUCUAUUAAUCUGAGCAAUGCUUUACCCCAUAAAGAUAUACCAAAAUUAUCUGAAAAUAUGAAAGAGUCGUUAGAAGGGGAAAUAUCAUUUAUAGAAUUGACUGAUGCAAUUAAAAGAAUGAAAAAUGAGAAAAGCCCUGGAUCGGAUGGAUAUACAAAUGAAUUCCUAAAAUUUUUUUGGAUUGAUAUAGGUAAAUUCAUACAUAGAUCAAUUAAAUAUGGCUAUAAUCAAGGGGAAAUGUCUAUUACCCAAAAACAAGGUAUUAUAACUUGCAUACCAAAAGGUGACAAACCAAAACAAUACAUGAAGAAUUGGCGGCCAAUUAGUCUUUUAAAUAAUAUUUAUAAAUUAGCAUCAAGUUGCAUUGCAGAAAGGAUAAAGUCAGUUUUAACAAUCUUAAUUAAUAAUGACCAGACAGGAUUUAUACCUGGUAGAUUUAUUGGUGAAAACACCAGACUAAUAUACGAUUUACUACACUACACUGAAGAAAAUGAUAUCCCAGGCAUUCUCCUC
rnacentral:lncRNA from 1 species